rnacentral:tRNA from 1 species
GCCUGGCUGGCUCUUUCAGUAGAGCAUGUAACUUUUGAUCUCAAGAUUGUGAGUUCAAGCCCCACGUUGGGCA